rnacentral:rRNA from 1 species
GAUGAACGCUGGCGGCGUGCUUAACACAUGCAAGUCGAACGGUGAAGCAGGAGCUUGCUCUUGUGGAUCAGUGGCGAACGGGUGAGUAACACGUGAGCAACCUGCCCCUGACUCUGGGAUAAGCGCUGGAAACGGCGUCUAAUACUGGAUAUGUGAUGUGACUGCAUGGUCUGCAUCUGGAAAGAAUUUCGGUUGGGGAUGGGCUCACGGCCUAUCAGCUUGGUGGUGAGGUAAUGGCUCACCAAGGCGUCGACGGGUAGCCGGCCUGAGAGGGUGACCGGCCACACUGGGACGGGACCACGGCCCAGACUCCUACGGGAGGCAGGAGUGGGGGGUAUUGCACAAUGGGCGGAAGCCUGAUUCAGCAAGGCCGCGUGAGGGGUGGCGGCCUGCGGGUUGUAAACCUCUUUUGGCAGUGAAGAAGCGAACGUGACGGUAGCUGCAGAAAAAGCACCGGCUAAGUACGUGCCAGCCGCCGCCGUAA